rnacentral:rRNA from 1 species
GCGCCUUGCCAGCCCGCUCAGAAACUCAAAGGCAUUGACGGGACCCGCACAAGCAGCGGAGCGUGUGGUUUAAUUCGUUGCUACACGAAGAACCUUACCCGGGUUUGACAUAUAGGUUGUAGGGAACUGAAAAGGGACCGACCCUUCGGGGAGCCUAUACAGGUGUUGCAUGGCUGUCGUCAGCUCGUGUCGUGAGAUGUUCGGUUAAGUCCGCUAACGAGCGCAACCCUCGUCGUAUGUUAUAUGUGUCAUACGAGACUGCCGGUAAAAAGCCGGAGGAAGGUGAGGAUGAUGUCAAGUCAGCAUGACCUUUAUAUCCAGGGCUACACACACGCUACAAUGGUCUGUACAAUGGGUAGCCAAGCCGCGGGGCGGAGCCAAUCCUGAAAGCAGGCCUCAGUUCAGAUUGCAGUCUGCAACUCGACUGCAUGAAGCCGGAGUUGCUAGUAACCGCAGGUCAGCAAUACUGCGGUGAAUACGUUCCCGGGUCUU